rnacentral:ncRNA from 1 species
UUUAGGGCCCGUGGUGAUUUGGUCCGACCGGCUUGCGGCCACGUAAAAAAAGCAGCUAAAAGGUGGGGGCUUGCCUCGA